UCUCCGUUAGUAUAUCGGUUAGUACACGCGCCUGUCACGCGCGAAAGCUGGGUUCGACUCCCAGACGGAGAG
rfam:Coprinopsis cinerea okayama7#130 chromosome 12 cont3.12, whole genome shotgun sequence.